AUUUGGUGGUGAGGGCAACUAGCACACAACCUUUUAAAUCUUUCCCAAUAUUCAUAAAGUGACUCUCCAGUAAUUUGUUGAAUUCCAGAGAUUUCUUUUCGGAUGCU